rnacentral:rRNA from 1 species
AUUGAACGCUGGCGGCAGGCUUAACACAUGCAAGUCGAACGAGUGGCGGACGGGUGAGUAAUGCUUGGGAAUCUGACUUAUGGAGGGGGAUAACUACGGGAAACUGUAGCUAAUACCGCGUACCAUAGGAUGAGCCCAAGUGGGAUUAGGUAGUAGGUGAGGUAACGGCUCACCUGGGCGACGAUCCGUAGCUGGUCUGAGAGGAUGAUCAGCCACCCGUGGACGAAGACCAGGCCCAACCUCCUCCGUGAGGCAGCAGUGUGUAAUAUUGCACAAUGGGCGCAAGCCUGUUGCAGCCAUGCCGCGUGUGUGAAGAAGGCCUUCGGUUUGUAAAGUACUUUCAGCGGGUAUGCGUUACCCGCAGAAGAAGCACCGGCUAACUCCGUGCCAGCAGCCGCGGUAAUAC